UAGUAGUAUGAUAGGUGUUGUUUUACAGGGUCAGUCAUAGUAGUAUGAUAGGUGUUGUUUUACAGGGUCAGUCAUAGUAGUACGAUAGGUGUUGUUUUACAGGGUCAGUCCCAGUAGUAUGAUAGGUGUUGUUUUACAGGGUCAGUCAUAGUAGUAUGAUAGGUGUUGUUUUACAGGGUCAGUCAUAGUAGUAUGAUAGGUGUUGUUUUACAGGGUCAGUCAUAGUAGUAUGAUAGGUGUUGUUUUACAGGGUCAGUCAUAGUAGUAUGAUAGGUGUUGUUUUACAGGGUCAGUCAUAGUAGUAUGAUAGGUGUUGUUUUACAGGGUCAGUCAUAGUAGUAUGAUAGGUGUUGUUGUACAGGGUCAGUCAUAGUAGUAUGAUAGGUGUUGUUUUACAGGGUCAGUCAUAGUAGUAUGAUAGGUGUUGUUUUACAGGGUCAGACAUAGUAGUAUGAUAGGUGUUGUUUUACAGGGUCAGUCAUAGUAGUGUGAUAGGUGUUGUUUUACAGGGUCAGUCAUAGUAGUGUGAUAGGUGUUGUUUUACAGGGUCAGUCAUAGUAGUAUGAUAGGUGUUGUUUUACAGGGUCAGUCAUAGUAGUAUGAUAGGUGUUGUUUUACAGGGUCAGUCACAGUAGUAUGAUAGGUGUUGUUUUACAGGGUCAGUCAUAGUAGUAUGAUAGGUGUUGUUUUACAGGGUCAGUCAUAGUAGUAUGAUAGGUGUUGUUUUACAGGGUCAGUCAUAGUAGUGUGAUAGGUGUUGUUUUACAGGGUCAGUCAUAGUAGUACGAUAGGUGUUGUUUUACAGGGUCAGUCAUAGUAGUAUGAUAGGUGUUGUUUUACAGGGUCA